AUUGAACGCUGGCGGCAGGCCUAACACAUGCAAGUCGAGCGGUAGAGAGAAGCUUGCUUCUCUUGAGAGCGGCGGACGGGUGAGUAAUGCCUAGGAAUCUGCCUGGUAGUGGGGGAUAACGUUCGGAAACGGACGCUAAUACCGCAUACGUCCUACGGGAGAAAGCAGGGGACCUUCGGGCCUUGCGCUAUCAGAUGAGCCUAGGUCGGAUUAGCUAGUUGGCGGGGUAAUGGCUCACCAAGGCGACGAUCCGUAACUGGUCUGAGAGGAUGAUCAGUCAACCUGGAACUGAGACACGGUCCAGACUCCUACGGGUGGCAGCAGUGGGGAAUAUUGGACAAUGGGCGAAAGCCUGAUCCAGCCAUGCCGCGUGUGUGAAGAAGGUCUUCGGAUUGUAAAGCACUUUAAGUUGGGAGGAAGGGCAAUAAAUUAAUACUUUGCUGUUUUGACGUUACCGACAGAAUAAGCACCGGCUAACUCUGUGCCAGCCGCCGCCGUAA
rnacentral:rRNA from 1 species